CGGUCGCGCUACUGCGCUAGGGCCACAGCAAUCGAGCAAGAGGAAAAACAGCCCCGCGCCCCUCACUCCUCCCUCCCUCGUCCGCCGCCACUCCCUCCCACCUCCUCCUCCUCCUCCUCCUACGCUCUAGGAGCCCCGCCGCCGACUGCUACUCCUCCACCGCCUCGCCUCUUCCCCCUCCUUGCCUUCCCAUCGCUCGUCUUCAGGCUGCAGCGGUGAUUCCCGAUCUGAGCCGUCUUUUCUUUUCCCGUCCGUCUCUCUCUCUCCCCCGCGGCUAGGAUUCGGGCUAGGGUUCGGGCGCCUUCCCUUCUCUCCUCUACCCAACGCCGCCUCCCCUCCUUUCUCUCCUUCUCCACUAACGAGGCCGGGCCAGGAGCAGCGAGGCCGGGGCGGCGGCGCGGACAAGAAACUGUGGGCUCUCCUCCGCAAAUCUCUACCGGGACGACUGUAGCCGGAGGAGGAUCCCCGGUCAACGGCGCCCCGGGCGCUCACUGCCAAGAAGCCGCCGGAGGAGGAACUCGACCUGGACGACCGCCGCUGGACGAAGAGCCCCGAAAAAAAUCCCCCAACCACCCCUGCGCCACCGCCUCUUCACCUUCGACCACGGGUUGCAACGGUCAGAGGACCAAGUUGGAGCAUACUAGGCAAAUGGGCCUUGCCGUGAGUCGUGGUGCAACAGUGACCUCGAUGGCAGGGCAAUGGUCAGAUACGAGUCAGCACCAAAGAUGACUGUAAGCACUCAAAAAAGUUUACCACGCUAGAGCUAUGUCAGGUUGUACGGGGGCAGUUAAUGAAUAUACUUGUGACACUUAUACUCAGCAAUGCCGACAAACAUGGUUUAUGAUGAUAUUGGUGGUCUGAAGCUUUAGAUCGUCGGGGCUGCUCUCAUUCGUUCAAUUUGCCAGUGAUCCUUCCAUUCUACUGCUGCUCAUUAUUAUCAUAUGAAGGAGGUGUUCUUCCGUUACAAUACUCCUGACGUGUUUCAUGAAAUGUCUAUGAGCUGAAAUUUACGGUCGCGGUCGAGAGCAACGGCGAGUGUAGAGCAAGCCUGUGGGAGAGUUUUUCUGAAAGCAAGCCCUCAGCACGCCCCGACAACCUUUCCCUGUCAGCUUCGCUCCCCUCUUCCUCCUCUUUGCUUAGAAUUGUUUUAUUGUCAUUCAUAUUCUGUAUUAAAUUCUGAUGAGGUUUCUGCUUGUUAGAUUAAAUUCUAGCCAAGACUAAACUGUAGCCACAAGAAGGCAGGAUUCUACUUGUUUAGUCUAAAAAAGAGUUUUUGACUUAUUUGAUUAGAUUCUAAGUCAGCUUUUGGGGGGACUUUAGAUACAAUUUGUUAGUUGGAAAAUAUAUGUGUUCUUGCGCUUGAGAAAUUGCUGCCAGUGUUACUGUAUCAUAUAUGAAUAUGUACAAGGCAUCAGAAAGCACAAGUAGCAGGAACAAUUAGUUCAGUUUUAAUAUUAUAGUGCUACUCAUCCUAAAUUGUGUUAAUUAAUCUGCUAGACUAUGGUGAUGACAGAGGGGUACUGUUUUUUAAAAUUAUUUCUUUGUUCCAAUUAUAAAGGGCCCUCUGCAAGGAUAUUUAUUUCAUCAUGUGUAGAAGUUUAGUUGGACAGAUAUUGUUCGUCAGUUUCUUAGUGCGUGCCUAGCUGUUUCCCCUUUUUACAUUGCUUAUUUUCUAUAGGAUUUCUUGAAAGAUAAUAGCUUGCUUCAACAAUUGUAGAACGAUCAUGGUUUCUUUGCAUUCCUGUACUUUUAUACGAUUAACAAUUUCAUGGCUAUCCUGUGUAAGAAACAGACAUCAUUGGCAUUGGCCAAUGCAUUUGCGUUAAAUGCCCUGUUGGCCGAGUGAUGUAGUCCUAUUGUGAAGAUGCUUAUUGUUUCAUUUCUGUAAUGUAGGAACAUGUAUAUCCUUUCAAGUUCACUGAUGUGGUUACCACUACAACACACGUCCCUCCAAGGACCAAGGGUGGGCAUGAUCUUCUACAAGGUUGUUGUCUGUGACUAUUAGUACGGGAUCAACUUUGCGGUGUCCCCAUCGCUUCAAGUCAAGCUAAUAGAGCUAAAUGGGUAUCCAAUUUUAGAAAGCACACUUAAGAAACAUGAACACGUGUCUUUAGAUCCUAUGGAGCAUUCCUAAUAAUGACCAUCUAUUUAACUAUCUUGGAUCAUUACCAUUACAAAAUGCAGCAUGGCAUUCAUAAUGUUCAGUUAUUCAUAAAUGUGGCAUUUAAUUAUUCUCCUGGCAUGAUAUUUAAGCAUGUUGCAUAUACCAAUCUGUUGAUAAUUCAAUUAUUGAUUCUGAUGUACAAACAUGCAAAACCAUUGCCUGUUUGGAUGAUGCACAUGAGUAUGUUUUUGUUAGUUUUCGGUGAUGUACGUCGUGAAGCGGGACGGGCGGACGGAGACGGUGCACUUCGACAAGAUCACGGUGUGGUUCAAGAAGCUCAGCUAUGGGCUCAGCCAGGAGCACCGCGACCCCGUGCUCGGUCUGCGUCAGGGUAUACAUGGGCGUCACCACCAGCCAGCUCGACGAGCUCGCCGCCGAGACCGCCGCCGCGCUCACGGCCUCCCAGCCUGACUAUGCCUCCCUCGCGGCAAGGAUUGUUGUGCCCAACCUGCCGCCAAGUGGAAAUAGUCUGUGUGGCGCUUGUAAAUAGAGAGCAUUCUGGUAGAAAGCUGAAAGAUUAGCAAGACUGGCUAAAUUCUGAACAUGUUCCAUGUGAGAGAAAUAGCAUGUUGAUUUCAUCUUGAAAUAAUCAUAGCUGAGGGACGAGCUUCGUAACUAAGGGUCAUGUGUAGAGCUGAAGGAAGAAGUUGCGAGGCUUGGAACUCUCCUUGUAAAGGGCUCAGGACAGCAGUGAGGACAAUGCCUCUUUAGUUGUAAUUGUGAUACUCCUGAUCUGCAAGUAAACACUCCUGUGAUACUAAAUGUUGGUUGUUAGUACAGAGGUGGUGACAUUAGUUGGUUCUCUGGUAUUGAUUUCAUGAUUUGUGGUUAAUACAUGAUGUAAUACAAUCCACACUGCAUUAUAUUUCCAGUUACAUCUUUUACUUACUCA